CCCUUACAUAGCUCCUGGGGCUGAGAAGAAGGACAUGGCGUGGAACUUGAGUUUGGGCUGUGGGUGGCAGAGAUCCAUCAUUGCUGCUUCAUUUGCCCUUGUCCUGGGAUGGUAGGGCUGUUCUCCAAUUUCACUACAAAAGGCUGGGCUGGAGAAGCCUCCUCGACAACCAGGGCCCCCUGCCCUGCCAAGGGACCAUUGGAAAGGGACCCCAGCUUCCUGUACCUCCGUGAGAGUAGCAGAGCAAGCUCCCUCAGAGGGUCCCAGAUACAUCACCCAGCCUCUCACUGGACUCCCAAAGUCCUUUUCAUUCCCCGCCUCUCCCUAGCCAGGUGAAUCCACCAUUCCACCUCUCUGAGAUCCUGGACCUGGUCAGUGCAGGCAUCUCCAGCGUGUUCUCUCUGCCACUCAUCAUGCCCAGUCUCGAUAGAAGGGAGAGUGCUAGUCUCUACCUCCAGAUGACCCAGGCCUUAGAUGACAUGUUACAAGCUCUUGUGAUGGACAAUAUGGAUCCGAACAUGCUCAUACUGGAAAACUUCCUGGAAAUCAUCUUGCCUUGGUUAACGCAGUCAGACAAAGUGCAUGAGCAGACUCGGGCCUUGGGCACCAUUUCCCGGCUGCUGCGGUUUGUUUGCAAUUUCCCCACACUGCUGCACAUGGAGUUGUUUUCCAUGACUGGGAAGCUGAUUGGCAUCCUGGGCCUGUUCUGCUUGAACCCCAACCAUGAGAUCAGCCUGGGGGCAUCAGAGGCUUUGCAUUACUUGUCCAAAAUCCUUGUGCUUCAGCGAAGUGUGAGACAGAAGACAGUGAACAUCCUGAGGAACUUGCAGAAGAAUUUCCGUGGGGAGUGGUUCACCAGCAUGCAGAAUGUCACACUGUUCUUCAGGAAAUACCUGACCCCUGUGGAGAGAGCUGAUGUGAUCAUGGUGACCAUGGAGGGUAUGACCAGCACCAGUAGGGAUGACAUCUACGCAGCCUCCAACAUGUUGGAGAUGAUCCUGAAGUACUCAAUUCCAGAAAUUGGGAAGGUACCAGAAAUCAUCCAGUACAUUUACUUCCACAUGAACAGCAUCACCGAGACCACUGCCCAGAAGACCAUAAAGAAGACCCUUUACCUCCUGUCCCAGUCCUACACUGAUGAAGUGAUCCUGACUCUGUUUAAGAUAGAGGACCAGUCACAAAAAGAGGUGUGCAAACCCUGGGAGAUCCUGGCGUCCUUCCCAAAAGGCUGUGAAGUCAUCAUGAAGCAUCUGCUGCAGAGACUGGUUCCACAGCAGCCACCUCAGGACCGGGAGCCCAGCCAGAGAGCAGAGAUCUCCCCGCUGAUUGCCACCAGGGCCAUCCAUGAGCUUCUGCUGGAGUCGAGUGAGCAGAUGGAGGUGCAGACCUUGUUCUCCCCUCUGUUCGUCGCACUGCUCUUGCGGGCCUCCUUUCUCAUGGUGGCAGGGAACGUGGAAAUGACCCAGGAUCAGCAACAUGUAACGGAAUGGGUGGACCCUGUGAGUUCUACUGUGAAGGCCCUCAAGACCUUGAUGCUCAGCUCUGGCUAUGGAAACUUGGAGUCUGAAAUUGAGAAACUUGGGGGCUGGGAGCUGCUUGUCGAUCCUGAAAGACACUACGAUGGAGUCACUGUGGUGGCCAGGUCGCUGGUCAUGAAGAACUGCUGGCACAACCGCCCCAUCUUCGGCCUCCUCAUGAGGAUGCUCCAGGACCCCAACUGCACCAACCACUUCACAGCCCUGGUGUUCCUGAUGGAGCUGCUCCAGUGCCCAGAUGUGGCAGCCAUAGUGGACGACUUUGUCACCCACAUUCUGGCCAACUGGUUCAACUGUAAGGAGCCGGCCACAGUGAAGCUUCUGCUGCAGAUGACAGAGGUCUUCACAAAGCACAAGAACCUGGAGAGGCGACUCCAUAUCCUGCAGCCCCAAGUGCUGAACUGCUGCUACUCCUCCAAUGGCGACAUUGUGAUGGAGACUUUCCUGGUGCUGAAGCACCUCGUGGAGGACCUCACCUGGCAGUACUCCUCCUCCUUUCUUAUUCAGCUCACCUUCAUGCUGGAGCCCUUCUUUGAGGAGGAGUCCGAGCACCUGCGCUUGCUGGCCUUCCAGAUCUACGGCAGUCUCCUGGCCAAGGUCAAGAGAAGGGUGCUUGUCUUCCCCUUAAGGCACCAGAUCCUCAACGUGAUAGUCUUCCUGGUGCUGCACCUGCAGGAUGUGAAUUUGGAUGUGGCUCAGACCUGCCAAGUCGCACUCUGCAACACAGCUGCCCUUCUGCGUUGGUCAAAGCUCAGAGAAGUCUUCACUAAGGAAGAUGUAUUUACCAUCACUGGGGCUCUGCUGCAGCAGGAGACAAACAAAGCCCUCUGGUUUCUGAAGCAGUGUGUAGCUUUGUUCAAGAGCACCCAGGUCCCCAUUCGCCAGGCAGCGGUGUGGUUUGCAGGCCAGAUCCUGCAAACCCUGGACUUGGAAGAGAUGAAUGAAAUGGAGGAAGCAUAUGCAGCCCUGAGGCACAUGAAGAGAGACCCGGAUCCCAUGGUCAGCUGCCUUGCCACGCAGACCAUCCACGUCCUAGAAGCCAAGGAGAAGCUGCUUCUGGCCAAGCCCCCUACUUCCUGCUUCUGCAGGAGGAGACCCCAACGGGGCCACUUCUGAGCCUGCAUCCUCGAGUUGAAGCUGCAGGCCUGGGCCCAAGACUGCCAGUGGCCAGCCUCUUGGGCCUUGCACUAGAAAUACUAUGACUGCUCUAAUAAAAGGAGAAGUCCUGUACUUCUGUGGAAGGAGAUGUUGAUUCUUGGCUGUUUGGGGUAGAACCAUGUGUUGUGAGCCAGGUCAAGGCUUGCCUCUACCUGAUCUGCCAGCUCUGCCCUUCUCCCAUUCAGCCAAGUGAUCUGAGCCCAGAGCAGUUUCUUUUGAACCAACUUGGACUGGGAGUCAGUCUCUAGACUCCAGCUAUAUUGGGCAGUGUUCUUAUAUAUAUAUAUAUAAUUUUUUUUUUCAUUGUACUGGAGAUUGAACAUAGAGCCUUUGCACUGAGCUACAUUCCCAGUCCUCUUAAUUUUUUUUAAUUUUUAUUUUGUGAUAAGGUCUUGCUAAACUGCCCAGGCUGGCCUGGAACUUGAGAUCCUCUAGCCUCAGCUUCCCAGAGUGCUAGGAUUA
rnacentral:lncRNA from 1 species